rnacentral:rRNA from 1 species
UACGUAGGGGGCUAGCGUUGUCCGGAAUCAUUGGGCGUAAAGCGCGUGUAGGCGGCCCGAUAAGUCCGCUGUGAAAGUCCAGGGCUCAACCCUGGGAUGCCGGUGGAUACUGUCGGGCUCGAGUCCGGAAGAGGCGAGUGGAAUUCCUGGUGUAGCGGUGAAAUGCGCAGAUAUCAGGAGGAACACCGAUUGCGAAGGCAGCUCGCUGGGACGUUACUGACGCUGAGACGCGAAAGCGUGGGGAGCAAACAGG